GACAGCAAAAAAAAAAAAAAAAAAAAAAAAAAAACAUUGCCUUACGUA
rnacentral:ribozyme from 1 species